GUCAAAUAUCGUGGACAGAACAUGAGCUGGUUUUGGAAAAAAGUUAAUGGAAAAGGUGCUUGGAAACCUAAAACAGCUAAGGUGACAUAAAUUCCGUUUUGGAUCGUCCCUCAGAAUUUAGGUAAAAGUCAAAUAUCGUGGACAGAACAUGAGCUGGUUUUGGAAAAAAGUUAAUGGAAAAGGUGCUUGGAAACCUAAAACAGCUAAGAAUUCUGAACUAUUUUCAGUGCAGCUCCGUCUGAGAAGGAAGAGUUGACGACUUCGACCCCCUCCUCCCUUUUCUCCAAAAUAGAAAACACUUACUAUGGAGCAUUUACAGCUAUAAAAUGACGAAGACUUGGACUGUGCUUGGACUUGUUACAUAUUUAUAUCAUUAUUUUCAAAAUUUCAGUUUUACAAUAAAUGUGCUAUUAGAUUA